AAGGUAGCAUAAUCAUUUGUCCUUUAAUUGGGGACUAGUAUGAAAGGCAAGACGAAGGCUUAACUGUCUCCUGUUUCAAAAAAGAAAUUAGUAUAUUUGUGAAGAAACAAAAAUAUUGACGCAAGACGAGAAGACCCUAUCGAGCUUAAAACUCAUUUAAGUAAAGAAAAGAAUAAAAGCUAAUAUAUCAAAUUUACUAAAAUUAAUCUUAAACUUAAAAAUUUUUGGUUGGGGCAACCGCGAAGAAAAAAAAACCUUCGCCAAAAUAAAAAAAUAAACAAAUUAAAAAGUUAAAAAACUUAUAAAUGAUCCAGUAAAACUGAACAAGGAAAAAAGUUACCGUAGGGAUAACAGCGUUAUUUUCUCUAAGAGCUCAUAUUGACGAGAAAGUUUGCGACCUCGAUGUUGGAUCGGGGCCUCCUAGAGGUGCAGCAGCCUCUAAAGGCGGGUCUGUUCGACCCCUAAGGCCCUACGUGAU
rnacentral:rRNA from 1 species